rnacentral:rRNA from 1 species
UACGGGGGGGCAAGCGUUGUUCGGAAUUACUGGGCGUAAAGGGCGCGUAGGCGGCCUUCUAAGUCAGACGUGAAAUCCCCCGGCUUAACCUGGGAACUGCGUCUGAUACUGGGAGGCUUGAGUAUGGGAGAGGGAUGGUAGAAUUCCAGGUGUAGCGGUGAAAUGACGUAGAUAUCAGGAGGAACACCGGUGGUGUAGACGGCUUCUGGACCGACACUGACGCUGGAGACACGAAAGCGUGGGUAGCAAACAGG